AUUGAACGCUGGCGGCAUGCUUUACACAUGCAAGUCGAACGAGGGGCGGACGGGUGAGUAAUGUAUCGGAACCUGCCCAGUCGCGGGGGAUAACUACUGGAAAGAGUAGCUAAUACCGCAUACACUUGGAGCGGCCGAUAUCGGAUUAGCUAGUUGGUGGGGUAAAGGCUCACCAAGGCGACGAUCCCUAGCUGGUGUAAGAGGAUGACCAGCCACACUGGUACUGAGACACGGCCCCGACUCCUACGGGAGGCAGCAGGGGGGAAUUUGGGGCAAGGGGGGAAACCCUGAUCCAGCCAUCCCGCGUGUAUGAGAAGGCCGUCGGGUUGUAAAGUACUUUUGGCAGAGAAGCGGUAUCUGCAGAAUAAGCACCGGCUAACUCCGUGCCAGCAGCCGCGGUAAUAC
rnacentral:rRNA from 1 species